rnacentral:lncRNA from 1 species
CUUUUGCAACGCCUACCUGUAACUAUCUCGUCACACACUUAUUCUGCGGCUCCACCACCACCUGGCGGCGGAACAACAAAACCUUGCUCUGAUACCAUGUAGAAAUAAACUAUAAAACUGAUGACUUCAAAUUAAACAAGAUGAAUAUAUAUGUACAAGAGCAACUGAACUCCAAAGACUACAUUGUAUUUCUCCUGAUAUAUUAAAAGAGAUACAUCACAUAAUAUAUACAUAAAGGCUACCCAAAAAAGUGAUAGCAACUAACAAGUGUCCACCUGAAACUAAACUCUACUACUCCAUGAUCCUAAAAACACUCAUUACUAAUCCAAUACUAAUCCAAUACUCUCCCACAAUUUCUCUAACUUAUCCUCUACUAAUAAAACAAUUAGUGAUUAUACUAAUUUAUUUAUUUCAAGUUUAGAUUAUUAGAAUAUAAUUCCAACAAUCUCCCCCUUAAUCUAAACUUAGCUUCUAUGCCCGUCUGGCAAGUUCUUCGGUGCCCAUCUGACUUUCUUUAUUGGCCCGUAUGACCUUUUGAACUGAGCCCGUAUGGCUAUUUUGUUUUGCUCGUCUGGCUACGUCUUCAUCCGUAUGGCUUUCAAUUUAGCCUGUAUGGCUUUCAACCCAUUUGGUUUUCAACAUAGCCCGUAUGACCCUUCUUAUUUGCCUAUCUGGCACGUCUUGUUUGCCCAUAUUACACACUUGUUUGCACAUCUGGCCUUUUUUUUCUUGCCCAUUUGGCACUUUUUUCUUGCACAUCUGGCACGUUCACCUCCGUUUGAUUUCACCGGAAAAAUAGAGAACACAACUUCCCCCGUAACUCUCUCGACUUCAAAAAUCAUUGCUUUUUAAGCAAAAAUAUCUCUCACAAACACGUUCACCUCUAUAUCAUUUUCUGCCUUCAGUAAGCUUCUCCGGCAUCGCCUCACCUUUCACGGCAGCUCCUACUACACAUGCAUCCCAUACUACACAUGCAGCUUUGCCACCAUGCUUUUGCAACGCCUACCUGUAACUAUCUCGUCACACACUUAUUCUGUGGCUCCACCACCACCUGGCGGCGGAACAACAAAACCUGGCUCUGAUACCAUGUAGAAAUAAACUAUAAAACUGAUGACUUCAAAUUAAACAAGAUGAAUAUAUAUGUACAAGAGCAAAUGAACUCCAAAGACUACAUUGUAUUUCUCCUGAUAUAUUAAAAGAGAUACAU